rnacentral:rRNA from 1 species
GNAUUUAUUGGGCGUAAAGGGAGCGCAGGCGGUUUAGUAAGUCUGAAGUUAAAGGCAUUGGCUCAACCAANGUAUGCUUUGGAAACUGUUAGACUUGAGUGCAGAAGGGGAGAGUGGAAUUCCAUGUGUAGCGGUGAAAUGCGUAGAUAUAUGGAGGAACACCGGUGGCGAAAGCGGCUCUCUGGUCUGUCACUGACGCUGAGGCUCGAAAGCGUGGGUAGCGAACAGGAUUAGAUACCCUGGUAGUNCACGCCGUAAACGCUGAGUGCUAGGUGUUAGGUCCUUUCCGGGACUUAGUGCCGACGCUAACGCAUUAAGCACUCCGCCUGGGGAGUACGACCGCAAGGUUGAAACUCAAAGGAAUUGACGGGGGCCCGCACAAGCGGUGGAGCAUGUGGUUUAAUUCGAAGCAACGCGAAGAACCUUACCAGGUCUUGACAUCCCGAUGCCCGCUCUAGAGAUAGAGUUUUUCUUCGGAACAUCGGAGACAGGUGGUGCAUGGUUGUCGUCAGCUCGUGUCGUGAGAUGUUGGGUUAAGUCCCGCAACGAGCGCAACCCUUAUUGUUAGUUGCCAUCAUUAAGUUGGGCACUCUAGCGAGACUGCCGGUAAUAAACCGGAGGAAGGUGGGGAUGACGUCAAAUCAUCAUGCCCCUUAUGACCUGGGCUACACACGUGCUACAAUGGUUGGUACAACGAGUCGCAAGCCGGUGACGGCAAGCUAAUCUCUGAAAGCCAAUCUCAGUUCGGAUUGUAGGCUGCAACUCGCCUACAUGAAGUCGGAAUCGCUAGUAAUCGCGGAUCAGCACGCCGCGGUGAAUACGUUCCCGGGCCUUGUACACACCGCCC